rnacentral:rRNA from 1 species
ACUCAAAUGAAUUGACGGGGGCCCGCACAAGCGGUGGAGCAUGUGGCUUAAUUCGAUGCAACGCGAAGAACCUUACCUGGCCUUGACAUGUAGCGUGAAAGGCGAUGAAAGUCGUCGACGGUCCGAAAGGAUGCUGGGGCUACACAGGUGCUGCAUGGUUGUCGUCAGCUCGUGUCGUGAGAUGUUGGCUUAAGUGCCGCAACGAGCGCAACCCCUGUGGUUAGUUGCCAGUCAGCCGCAAGGCUGGCGCACUCUAACCAGACUGCCUCGCUUUAAACGAGGAGGAAGGUGGGGACGACGUCAAAUCAGUAUGGCCCUUACGGCCAGGGCUGCACACGUGCUACAAUGCUCGGUACAGAGGGACGCUAAAUCGCGAGAUCAAGCAAAUCCCUUAAAACCGAGCCCAGUUCGGAUUGAAGGCUGCAACUCGCCUUCAUGAAGCCGGAAUCGCUAGUAAUGGCGCAUCAGCUACGGCGCCGUGAAUACGUUCCCGGGCCUUGUACACACCGCCCGU